UAAGUUUGAGUUCGUACGUGUUUGUCUUUUUGUUAUUGUUUUGUCUGUUUUUUCUUCUUUUUUUUUUUCUUUCAGUUGUUCAAUGGAAAUUUGUUUAAGGUUCUCUGGAAUUUUUAUUUUGCUUAAUUUGUUUAAGGUUCUUUGGAAUUUUUUUGGCCAUUUUCUUCUCAGAAAUUUUAAAACUUUAGGGAAUUUCAUUGCUGCGAUAACUCAAAGUUAGCUCUGAAAUCUAUUGUCUAAGAAGAAGAAUCAGUAGAUGAAUUAGAACCAAUUUAAAUAGGUUCAAAUGUUCAAAAUUGUAACUUGGCAAUAGACCCAUAUGCUUUAUUAGAAUGGAGAAAUGACUACUUUCAAGGAAAAAAUGAAACAAAUAAUGAGUUCUUUGAUGUCAAUUGUCCUUCUUCGCUAACAGACAGAAAACAAGAUUUGGUUUUCUCUUCCUUUUCCUAUUGGUUACCCAACAUUGUGUUUAUUGGCUUUCUUUCCUUUUUUCUUUUUGUUGCUUUGCUUGUGGAUGAUGAAGAAGAAAUACGUCAAGUUCACAUGAUUAUGAACUUGAUUUUGACUUCCAUAAAUGGUUCACCUAUAAAGAUGAGGUAGUUGCAUGUUCGUUUGUCAAUGGGGCCAGCAUGGCUUAACCUGGAGCCUGAGACCCGACCUUAUGGUUUAAGUAAUCAAAAGCAUGUGUCCUGUACUUUGGGCCUGAAAUUUUAAGUCAGGCUCAGUUCUUUGUCUAUCUUGUCAUGGAAGGAUUAGAGAUCAAAUCUUUGCUUGUGUAUUUGUCAGGCUUAGUAUUAGAAGAGAUAAUUGGAGUAAGAUCUUUGAAAAUAUAAAGCACAAAAACCACAAUGAAUCUGGAUAUCUAAAAUGUUUAAAUUACAGUUCUAUGACUAUCAUUCUAUCCAAGCCAUUCUUUUUUCUUAUCAUAGUCUAUUGUGUGCAAUCAUAAUUACAAAUGAAUCUGAAGAUUGAUGAGAAACAAGUGCUUUUGAAUUAUAAAAGGUUUCUUGUAGGUUAAUUUGAUCAAAUUGAAAAGAAAUAAUUUUCAUAACUGAAACUAUUUUGUUGAAAUUAUUACAAGAUUGCUGUCUCCAGUAAGUUAUUUGAAACGAGAACAAUUAGCUCUCUACAUAUUUGAUUGUAACUAAAAGAAAAAAGAGCAGUUCUCAAUGCAGGUACUACUAUGUCAAGAAUUGUGCUUUACCUUGUUUACUAUUUGGUGAUAAAUUCAAAAUGACUGAUAGGCUAUGACUGAGGUUUUGCUGCAACUUUGGCAAUUUUCUACUUGGUCAUGGUUACUGAUGCAAAAGUUUUACUUGAUGGCAGUGUGUGAAUAAACUAAAGUCUAAAAUGUAUUCAUUGUUCCUGCAAUUUCAUGAAGUUGCAGAAUUUGGCUUAACACUCAUUAUGCACUUGCUGGACCUGAUGCUGUUUUGUUUUUUUAUAUUUCCAAUCUGUUGGUUUUUUUGCUUCUUUUUGUUCGCUAAGCUUUUGAAAUUAUAAAAAUUUUACAGGAG
rnacentral:lncRNA from 1 species